GACGAACGCUGGCGGCGUGCUUAACACAUGCAAGUCGAACGAGUGGCGAACGGGUGAGUAACACGUGAGUAACCUGCCCCUUCUCCUGGAGAACUGCUUGAAAGGGUAGUUAAUACGGGAUAGUGGGGGAUGGGUUCGCGGCAUAUCAGCUUGUUGGUGGGGUGAUGGCGUACCAAGGCGGUGACGGGUAGCCGGCCUGAGAGGGUGGCCGGCCACCCUGGGACUGAGACACGGCCCAGACGCCUACGUGAGGCAGCAGUGGGGUAUAUUGCACAAUGGGCGCAAGCCUGAUGCAGCGACGCCGCGUGAGGGAUGGAGGCCUUCGGGUUGUAAACCUCUUUCGCCAGUGAAGCGGUAGCUGGAUAAGAAGCGCCGGCUAACUACGUGCCAGCCGCCGCGGUAAUUC
rnacentral:rRNA from 1 species